AUGCUGGGCCCCUGGGUCAGUGAAGCCCUUCAGAGGUGGGUGGCUCACCUGGGAAGGAAGGCCCUGCAAGGCAGUGGGCCAGUCUUCACGUCUCAUCACAGUCUCACCUGCUUUUCCCUCUGCACUUGCCCUCUGCACCCAGGGAGGGUUACCAGCCUUGUGGGAAGAGCCCUGGGGCUUCAUUGGCAUCAUCCUCAGCUUUCCCACCGCUCCCAGUGGCCCCAGGGCCAGGUCACCACCAGAAGGCAACGUGUGUGUCCUUCCUCCCCAGGGGCUCCAUGUCCAGCCUGGAAUCCUGCGCCAGCCGCUUCUCUCAGCUCAGCGCCGCCACCUCCUCCUCCUCAGCACCAUCCCACAGCAGCUCCCUGGUGUCCAGGUAGUUGCGACCGAGCCCCGUGGGGCAGCCUGCUCGCCUCCCACGUCCCCAUGUGUCCACGAGGCUGUGUGGCCUGCAGCCCUGGGUCUGGACGCUGCCAAAGUUGGGCUAUCUGGAGGCCCCCAUUGGCUCUUGGGGUGUCGAGGACAGAAUCAUCUAUGACCAGGCUUCGAGUACAAAAAGGCAAGGGGUGGGCGGACCCCAUUCAUGUCUGGGGGCUCAGGGAAGUUGUCGGGCUCAGUAACCCCCUCCAUCUCUGGUCCAGCUUCCUUGCGGUGGCCUCCUUCUCAGGCAACCCCGGCACUGUUAGUUUCCCUCUUUCCCUUUCCCGCAGCUCAGCUGCAGAAGAGAAUCUGUCUCCUGACCAAGUUCCAUCCAGCCUCCCAGAAUUGAGUCUUAUCAGCCUGCUUGAGUCCCAGGCUAGUCCCUGA
rnacentral:lncRNA from 1 species